rnacentral:lncRNA from 1 species
CCGAGCCAGGGGAAGGGGGGACACGACGUCGGGGGCGGGAGAGGGCGGUGGGACUGUCUCUGAGCCCCAGUCGGCGGUCUCCUAGCUCCCCUGGCGGCAGCAGAGGUGCCCGGCCCCGCCAGCGGCGCCCUCUGCUCGCUUCCCUCGCUCUUCAGCCCUUCCCUCGUGCGCGAUGGCCCGGGUGCACGCAGGGCUCGCACCCACCCGUGCCGCGGCGACCUCGGCGCUGCCCCUGCUGUCGCUUCUG